rnacentral:rRNA from 1 species
CGGGGUGCAGCAGGCGCGAAAACUUUGCAAUAAGCGAAAGCUUGACAGGGCUAUCCCGAGUGCCAUCCGCUGAGGAAGGCUUUUACCCAGUCUAGAACGCUGGGGGAAUAAGGAGAGGGCAAGUCUGGUGUCAGCCGCCGCGGUAAUACCAGCUCUCCGAGUGGUGUGGAUGUUUAUUGGGCCUAAAGCAUCCGUAGCUGGCUAAGUUAGUCCCUUGUUAAAUCCACCGAAUUAAUCGUUGGAUUGCGGGGGAUACUGCUUGGCUAGGGGACGAGAGAGGCAGACGGUAUUUCCGGGGUAGGGGUGAAAUCCUAUAAUCCCGGGAAGACCACCAGUGGCGAAGGCUGUCUGCUAGAACGCGCCCGACGGUGAGGGAUGAAAGCUGGGGGAGCGAACCGGAUUAGAUACCCGGGUAGUCCCAGCUGUAAACGAUGCAGGCUAGGUGUUUGGACGGCCACGUGCCGUUCUAGUGCCGCAGGGAAGCUGUUAAGCCUGCCGCCUGGGGAGUACGAUCGCAAGAUUGAAACUUAAAGGAAUUGGCGGGGGAGCAAGGGCGAUUCGCG